CCCAGACUCUUACCAGCGGGCGCGGGAGAAGGCCCAGCCUUGAAUGAACGUGAGCUCUGGCCCCGCUUAACUCGUGGAAAAUGUUUCCACGUAGUCUUUUGAAGUUAUUUAGAAACCAGGACAUAAUUUCAAAUCUCCUCCCCCUCGCCUCCCCAGUCGUUCCAGUUCACCUACUUGGUAGCUGGAGUGAAAUAGGAGCCAUUUAAAAAUCUGUGCUGGAAACAUAGUAGAAGCUUCCCUCCCCAGUGUCCUCUUUUCUCCCUUCUCUCAAUGUUGGUUGAAUUGAGCAAUGCAGUUGUUGGUUGCUGACUUACAACAGAUGCUUGCCCUUUUGCUUCUGUUGCUUGAUGUAACGAAAUUGUUAGUGUACUUUGCCUGUUGAGAAAAUUAAACAUGAUUACCAAAAAAAAUUUUUUUAACCAACAGCUAGAUAGACAUAUUGUAAAUGACAUCUUCUGAAAGACAAGGCUGGUUUUGUGGGCAUGCAACUUGCCCAGUGGAACAGGACCUCAGAAGGACUCUGAGGUCCUAGUUUCUUUCCUGUGCCGCAUUAUUAAUAAAUUCUGAAAGGGCCCACAUACUUCCGUUUUGCACUGGGCCCUGCAAAUGAUGUGGCCGAUCUUCUGAAAGGAGUGGUAGGGUAAGUGACCUCUAUUGGAACCUAUGUUAUAAAUAUAGAUGCCACUCAGGAGACUACCUGUCAGCAUUUGUCCCCAUGGCCCAGGCCUAUUUGGCCAUAGUGACCUAUGGACUGAACUAAUCUGUGGAGCUGUGGAUCGACUGGAAUUCGGGCUGAAGGCUCUGAAAAGCAGUUCAACAUGAUGACAUAAGAAGAGCUUGAACUCACCUCCUCCCAGAGACACACCAAGUCUACAGCUACUUAUGGUACAGUUCACUCCGAAAAAGACGUGAAAAUUAGCUGAGUAACUCCUUCACAUCAGCAAACACAUCAAAGCAGCAGAACUCUGAAAUAAUGUUGUAUCCUCAGAGCAUCAUACCAGAAGGCACAGAGGCACAUAGUGUUUGUUUAUUCCAAUAUCAGUGAUUAAUGUUGAUCAUGUCGUUAAGUUGGUGUUCUCCAAGUUUCUCGAUUGUAAAGUUAAUAAUUUUACCUUUGUAAUUAAGAAAUAAUGUAUGCCUUGUGACUAUGUAAAUGUCAAAGAUUGAGUUCCCCAGGGAGCAGAUUCUGAGAUGGACACUAGCCUGCAAAAGUUUAACAGAGAAUGCUCUUGGGAGAAUACUUGUGGAAAGGAAGGGAAGGAUACAGGACUGGGCAGAGAGAAGUCAAACUGCAGUGCAGUCUCAAAUGGGCCUCAGUGGAUCCUACAGGAUAUUCUGAAGAUGGGAUGACUGUUAAGUGCUGUCCUGAGUUGAUGAGAGGGCUGGGCUUUUAUACACUUGCAUUGAGUAGAUAUUGAUUGUCAGGUGCCCAGAAUAAAAAGUAUGACCUUGGGUGAGAUGGGUCUCUUUGGUUGGAGCAGUUUCCAAAAAGGGCUAAUUGACAGCUGGAGUCGGGCCUGCUCACAGACCUCCAGCAGCUGGGGUAAAAAGUCCUUCACACCUGAAGUAGGAUCUGAGAGGCACAUCACAGCAUCCACCAGAGUAGCUUUCCUCUUAUUAAGCUUUUAGUCUCUAGUUUUAGUACUCACUGAUGCUUUUCUAACUCUCUUAUUUCUUCUCUAUUUAUUAGGUGGCAUUCUACUGUAAAGAAAAGCUUUCCCUUCUCCCUUAUUUGUUUGUUUAUUCAUUCAUUCACUAUUUUUUAUCAUAUUGUACUCAUUAAUUUUUAUUUUUCAGUGGAUUAUGUAAUCCACAACUAAGAUUAUUUAUUUUAAUGCUUGAAUUGUGCCAGAUUUUGCAAGCAGCUCCCAUGUCUUUUUGAUAUGUUCCCAUCAGUCUUUAAGCAAUUCCUUACUUUCUGGAGUAACAAGAUGUUAUAGGCUUAUCCCUGUCCCAGAGCUAGAAUUAGACUUUUCUCCAAGGAGGCCUGUAUCUAUAAACUAAGAUCUGGGAGCUAAGUGUGCUUGUUGCUUCCAGUAUGUAAUAGCUUCUGGGUCCUUUCAGGAGACCAAACUAGGACACACACACACACACACACACACACACACACACACACACACACUUUCCUGUAUGUAUAUAUUCCUAUAUUUAUUUCUAUAUUUUUCUCUAUACAUAUUAAAAUUAAUGGGUUCAUACUGAGAUCCCCAAUUCCUAUCCGACAUCAUAGGUCUAGUCUUUUCCCCUUUCUGUACUUGUAAUUCUCCUUUUCAUCUUCUCUAUUGUCAUUGAUUUUUAGUUUAAUUCCCUUGCAGUCAGAGAACAUACUGUGAAAAACUGCAAUCUUUUGAAAUUUACUGAGACAUUUUUGUGACCCAGCAUAAUGUCUAUCUUCAUGAAUAUUCCAUCUGCUCUUGAAAAUAAUAUGUAUCAUUGGGUUGUUGAUUGUACAGUUUAUAAAUAUUCAUGCAGUCAAGUUAGUUGAUAAUGUUGUUCAGAUAUUACAUAUCUUUACUAACUUUUGUCUAGUCUUAAAAGUGUCCUAUUAAUUAUUCAGAAAAGAGUGUUUAAAUGUAUAACCAUGAUUGUGGAUUUAUCUAUUUUUUCCUAUAGUUCUGUCAGUUUUUGCUUCAUGUAUUUUGAAACUCUGGUAUUAAGCAUGUAAGCAUCUCUUAUUAUUAUACUUUCCUGAUAUUAUUAUUACACCUUCUUUGUCAUUAUGAAGUGUCUUUGUCCUUUAAUUGGAAGGUUUAGUCUAUUUAUAUUUAAUGUAAGUAUUG